GCUGGGCGUGGUGGUGCAUGCUUGUAAUCCUAGUGGCUUGGGAGGCUAAGGCAGGAGGGUCACGAGUUCAAAGCCGGCCUCAGUAACUUAUUGAGGCCCUAAGAAACUUAAUGAGACUCUUUCUAUA
rnacentral:sRNA from 1 species